UUUGCAUCAGAUAGAACCUGCAUCUUGUUAAGGCUACUUUCUGAAUAUCCAAGUGGACUGGGUUUCAUAACAUCUGACACCACAAAAGCCAGACAGCACUAGCAAAAAAAGUGACUGAAAUGGCUGAAGUUACCUGACUAAAGACACCUUUUUUGUACACCAUCUUCUACUUCCCAGCACCAUACCAAUACGGUAUAGCUGCCAGUAAUCUUCAUAUUGACUCUAUGAAAUAGGUAACUAAAAUUAUUUCCUUUCUCUGGAGACACUGGUGAUAAAAUACUUGGAACUGAAGUGAAACGGUUUUAGCUCCCCAUGGAGACAGAAACUACCACAUCACUGGUGUCCUCCACCUCAGUAAAUCUUGUGGCUUUCCUUAGGGUACUAAUGGUUUAUUACCGAAUGCUAUUGCAUGUACAAACUCUGAUCAAAAUAAAAAAUAUUUGUUUACA